GUUCUCUAGUCUCCCUUCCCAUCAUAGCUCAACACUGCUCUUAUUAGUAAAGGAAGAAGAAUGAUACUCAAGAUGGUCUAACAGGAGUUGUUGUUUGGUCAAUUACAUAUGGGUUAUAUUUAAACAGGG
rnacentral:snoRNA from 14 species